rnacentral:tRNA from 1 species
GGAGGGGUGCCGGAGUGGUCGAACGGGCUUGACUCGAAAUCAAGUGUAGGGUUUACCCUACCGUGGGUUCGAAUCCCACCCCCUUGG